rnacentral:rRNA from 1 species
GACAUCGGUAUGUGCAACUGGAAGAGUUCUCUUUUCUUCUUAACAGUCUAUCUCCCUGAAAGGAUUAUCCAGAGCUAGGGAUAUACGGCUGGCAGAGCAGUUCUCCAUUGAAUUGUCAGUGAAGCUCAUAACGAUCCUUGAAAAUCCGAGUAAGAUUAUCUCAUCACACCAGGUCGUACCCAUAACCGCAUCAGGUCUCCAAGGUUAGCAGCCUCUGGUCGAUAGAAUAACGUGGAUAAGGGAAUUCGGCAUAUUAGAUCCGUAACUUCGGGAAAAGGAUUGGCUCUGAGGGUUGAGUGUGGUGCCAAGAAGAUGGAACUAGGAUCUGUUCUGGUGUUAGCCGCAAGGCUGAAACCGGCACGGAGAGAAGGAAAAUCUUUGCGGCUAGCACAAUUAACAACCGACUCAGAACUGAAGCGGACAAGGGGAAUCCGACUGUUUAAUAAAAACAUAGACUUUGUGAUGGCCUCAAAAGGUGUUGACACAAAGUGA